GCAAGAAGAAAGAACUUGCGGAACGAAUUAAUUUCGUCUUGCGAGGCACCACUGUAUUUAUUUUCAGGAACUGUGAACAAAACAACCCAAAAUCAGGGUUUUUGCGUGUGUGUAUUCCUAUAGGCUGGUGCUCAAAGAACUCAUUCUUUAAUCACAGUUCAAAUUUCACUCAUUGGCUAAAAACACGGAGCAGCUGACUUAUCUCCGAGAAAUCAACUAGAAGGAUGCUCUGUACAUUUUGCCUUAUAACUUUACUGCCAGUAGAGCUAGACGCAUACUUUUUUAAAAUGAAAGGUCAGAGUUGGAUAAUCUAUCUGAAAAAAAAUGAAAAAUAAACCAAAACAUGUAUUUAUUUCAAAGUGGGAAGUAGUUAAAAUAUAUUUGAAAAAUAGUUGUCGCCGUCUAAACUCUGUUGUAGCAUUCGAAUAACAUCUGUAGUAGUUGGUAGUAAGAAUCGAGACCACAGACAAUUAAAUAUUUAUUUAUAUUUUCUGUUUUGAUAACCAUCUGACAAGUUUUGGCAACAAGUUAAUAUGGAGUGGAUGGGAAGUUGUAUGUCAACUAAGAAGAUCUUCUUUGUUCUAUUAGAUUAGACUUUCCCCCCCUUUUUUAGUUGAUUUCUCUUAUCUUUUUGUAUUAAUGGAUGAUGAAUAAUGUUGUUGUUUUUUAAUUAAGCAAAUAAAAUUUAAAAAAGGAAGGAAGGAAGGAAGGAAGGAAGGAAGGAAGGAAGGAAGGAAGGAAGGAAGCAAGCUCAAAGUCUUGGCCUCUUGAAGGCAUGGUGCUUAGUGCAAUAGCACAAUAAUGGCUCACCAUUAUUGGCUGAACAGGUUUUGAGCUAAUCUUGGCCCAAGGAGGUGUGUGUAUGUGUUCCCUCCACUUUCCAUUAAACAUUUCCCCACAACUCUGCAAUCUCCCUAGCUGCUGACACUUCCAGAGCUGAAAAAGCCUCAUGGGAGGAGCUAUCUCAUGAUGUCACCCAGGAAGGCUGCCGAGUGAAGAACAUUGGCGGGAAUGACGUGGAGAAGGAAAGAAAGGAGAAACAAUCCUUAACCAGCUCUAAAAGAGCCAAGAGGAGUAUAAAUGAGCAGUCUUCUAUCCAAAGAACUGUCCAAUUCAGAUCUGCUUAGAGACGAAGUCCCACCUUCCUAAUCACUUCCUAUCACCACAAACACAAGUCUUUUCCAUCAGUGUUGUUCACACAACCAGCUAUGAAUCCCUGAGUGCUGAGGAAUCAGUGAAAGUUCAAGGCCAAUUUGAGGUUUCUACUUUUGAGGGAAGAAAGAGAUUUGAUCGCUCCGGCAACAUUUGAUCAAUGUAGCAACCGCGUUUGUGUCUGCAUGGAGCAUUCCUUGCAAUGGAAUGGGGCCCUUCGCAGCUAUGACUGUUUGACCCAGUAUCUGAAGGUAUCUGAAGAAGUGUGCAUGCACACAAAAGCUUAUACCAAGAACAAACUCAGUUGGUCUCUAAGCUGCUCCUGUCGGACUUGCGUUCAACCGAGCUUCUCCGGUCGAGUCCUCCGAUGUGAUUAACGACCUGAGCCUUUGAUGAGGCUCCAGGCACGUUCCCCAUUACGCAGAGUAUCCAGCAUGCAGGGAAGGAUGAGAAAUUUGAGCUACAUUGCAAAGAGUUUUAUUUCUAACUACGCAGACAGAAAAGGAACAUCCUCUCUCUGUGAGAGCAGAGAGGCAACU